rnacentral:rRNA from 1 species
AUUGAACGCUGGCGGCAGGCCUAACACAUGCAAGUCGAAUGGUAACAGGAAACAGCUUGCUGUUUCGCUGACGAGUGGCGGACGGGUGAGUAAUGUCUGGGAAACUGCCUGAUGGAGGGGGAUAACUACUGGAAACGGUAGCUAAUACCGCAUAACGUCGCAAGACCAAAGAGGGGGACCUUCGGGCCUCUUGCCAUCAGAUGUGCCCAGAUGGGAUUAGCUAGUAGGUGGGGUAACGGCUCACCUAGGCGACGAUCCCUAGCUGGUCUGAGAGGAUGACCAGCCACACUGGAACUGAGACACGGUCCAGACUCCUACGGGAGGCAGCAGUGGGGAAUAUUGCACAAUGGGCGCAAGCCUGAUGCAGCCAUGCCGCGUGUAUGAAGAAGGCCUUCGGGUUGUAAAGUACUUUCAGCGGGGAGGAAGGGAGUAAAGUUAAUACCUUUGCUCAUGGACGUUACCCGCAGAAGAAACACCGGCUAACUCCGU